AGAGUUUGAUCCUGGCUCAGGACGAACGCUGCGGCGUGCUUAACACAUGCAAGUCGAACGGAGCACCUUCGAAAGAGACUUCGGUCAAUGGAAAAGAAUGCUUAGUGGCGGACGGGUGAGUAACGCGUGAGGAACCUGCCUUUCAGUGGGGGACAACAGUUGGAAACGACUGCUAAUACCGCAUAACGUACGGGUAUCGCAUGGUAUCUGUACCAAAGAUUUAUCGCUGAGAGAUGGCCUCGCGUCUGAUUAGCUAGUUGGUAGGGUAACGGCCUACCAAGGCGACGAUCAGUAGCCGGACUGAGAGGUUGGCCGGCCACAUUGGGACUGAGAUACGGCCCAGACUCCCACGGGAGGCAGCAGUGGGGAAUAUUGGGCAAUGGGCGAAAGCCUGACCCAGCAACGCCGCGUGAAGGAAGAAGGCUUUCGGGUUGUAAACUUCUUUUGACAGGGAAGAGCAGAAGACGGUACCUGUCGAAUAAGCCACGGCUAACUACGUG
rnacentral:rRNA from 1 species